UACAGAGGGUGCGAGCGUUAAUCGGAAUUACUGGGCGUAAAGCGUGCGUAGACGGCUAUCUAAGUCGGGUGUGAAAGCCCCGGGCUCAACCUGGGAAUUGCAUUCGAGACUGAAUAGCUAGGGUACGGUAGAGGGAAGUGGAAUUUCCGGUGUAGCGGUGAAGUGCGUAGAUAUCGGAAGGAACAUCAGUGGCGAAAGCGACUUCCUGGACCAGUACCGACGUUCAGGCACGAAAGCGUGGGGAGCAAACAGG
rnacentral:rRNA from 1 species